UAGGGAAUCUUCGGCAAUGGGGGGAACCCUGACCGAGCAACGCCGCGUGAGUGAAGAAGGUUUUCGGAUCGUAAAGCUCUGUUGUUAAGGAAGAACGAGUGUGAGAAUGGAAAGUUCAUACUGUGACGGUACUUAACCAGAAAGGGACGGCUAACUACGUGCCAGCAGCCGCGGUAAUACGUAGGUCCCGAGCGUUGUCCGGAUUUAUUGGGCGUAAAGCGAGCGCAGGCGGUUAGAUAAGUCUGAAGUUAAAGGCAGUGGCUCAACCAUUGUAGGCUUUGGAAACUGUUUAACGUGAGUGCAGAAGGGGAGAGUGGAAUUCCAUGUGUAGCGGUGAAAUGCGUAGAGAUAUGGAGGAACACCGGUGGCGAAAGCGGCUCUCUGGUCUGUAACUGACGCUGAGGCUCGAAAGCGUGGGGAGCGAACAGG
rnacentral:rRNA from 1 species